AUUGAACGCUGGCGGCAGGCUUAACACAUGCAAGUCGAACGAGUCGCAGACGGGUGAGUAAUGCUUGGGAAUCUCGCUUAUGGAGGGGGAUAACUACGGGAAACUUUGGCUAAUCCCGCGUACCAUAGGAUGAGCCCGAGUGGGAUUAGGUAGUUGGUGUGGUAAAGGCUCACCAAGCCGACGUUCUCUAGCGGGUCUGAGAGGAUGACCAGCCAAACGGGGACUGAGACACGGCCCAGACUCCUCCGGGAGGCAGCAGUGGGGAAUAUUGCGCAAUGGGGGCAACCCUGACGCAGCCAUGCCGCGUGUAUGAAGAAGGCCUUCGGGUUGUAAAGUACUUUCAGUGGGGAGGCGUUACCGACAGAAGAAGCACCGGCUAACUCCGUGCCAGCAGCCGCGGUAAUUC
rnacentral:rRNA from 1 species